CGCGGGCGGCGGCUACACAUGCAGUCGAACGAUGAAGCCCAGCUUGCUGGGUGGAUUAGUGGCGAACGGGUGAGUAACACGUGAGUAACCUGCCCCCGACUCUGGGAUAAGCCCGGGAAACUGGGUCUAUUACCGGAUAUGACCUCGGACCGCAUGGUGGGAGGUGGAAAGAUUUAUCGGUGGGGGAAGGGCUCGCGGCCUAUCCGCUUGGUGGAGGUGGAAGGGCUCACCCCCGCCAAGACGGGGAUCCGGCCCUGGGCGGAGACCAGGAUCACUGACUGAGAAACUGAGACCAGUCCCCUACUCCUGGCAGAGGGGGGGAGGGUAUGCCCAAUGGGCGAAAGAGCCCUGAUGCAGAUGCGCCGCGUGAGGGAUGACGGCCUUCGUGUUGUAAAUCUCUUUCAGUAGGGAAGAAACAGAAAGUGACGGCACCUGCUAAAGGAACGCACGGGUAACUACGUGCCAGCUACCGCAGUGAAUACCUGUAGGCAGCCAAGCGUUAUCCGGAUUUAUUGGGUGUAAAGAGAUUCGUCAGGCGGUUUGUCGCGUCUGCCUGUGAGAGUUCAGAGGCUCAACCUCGGUAUCUGCGGUGGGUGACGGGCAGACUAGAGCUGUGUAGGGGAGACUGGAAUUCCAUGGUGUAGCGAGUGAAAUGCGCAGAUAUCAUGAUAGGGACACCGAUGGCGAAGGCAGGUCUCUGGGCAUUUACUGACGCUGAGGAGCCUGAAAGCAUGGGGAGCGAACGAGGAUUAGAUACCCUGGUAAGUCCAUGCCGUAAACGUUGGGCACUAGGUGUGGCGGGACAUUCCACGUUUUCCGCAGGCGGAGCUAACGCAUUAACGUGACCCGCCCUGGCGAGUACGGCCAGCAAGGCUAAAACUCAAAGGAAAUUGACGGGGGCCCGCAUCAGAGCGGCGGAGACAUGCGGAUUAAUUCAGAUGCAACGCGACUAGAUACCUUACCAAGGGCUUGACAUGUAGCCAGCACCGCCUCCAAGAUGGGAGUUUCCCUUCGGAGCUUGAGUUCACAUGGUGGUGCAUGGUUGUCCGUCAGUUCAGUGUCGUGCAGAUGUUGGGUUAAGCUCCCGCAACUGAGCUGCAACCCUCGUAUCCAUGUUGCAGCCAUGGUACUGGUGGGCGACUCAUGGGAAGACUGCCGGGGUCGAACUCGGAGGAAGGUGGGGAUGGGGUCAAAUCAUCAUGCCCCUUAUGUUUUGGGCUUCGCGCAUCCUACAAUGCCAGGUACAAUGGGUUGGGAUACUGUGAGGUGGAGGUAAUCCAUAAAACCCGGUCUCAGUUCGGUUUGGGGUCUCCAACUCGACCCCAUGAAGUCGGAGUCGAUAGUAAUCGCAGAUCAGCAACGCUGCGGUGAAUAGGUUCCCGGGCCGGGUACACUCCACCCCUCAAGUCACGCCAGGGGGUAACACCGCGAACAGAAGCACCUAGCCACCCUUGCGUGAGGGAGUCGACGCAACGAUGACUCAGUGU
rnacentral:rRNA from 1 species